GGGGGUAUAGCUCAGUGUUAGAGCAUGUGCUUGGUGGGCACCAGGUCCUGGGUUCAAUCCUGGUGUCCCCA
rnacentral:tRNA from 1 species